rnacentral:rRNA from 1 species
CCUACGGGCGGCAGCAGUGAGGAAUAUUGGUCAAUGGACGAGAGUCUGAACCAGCCAAGUAGCGUGAAGGAUGACUGCCCUAUGGGUUGUAAACUUCUUUUAUAUGGGAAUAAAAUGUUCCACGUGUGGGAUUUUGUAUGUACCAUAUGAAUAAGGAUCGGCUAACUCCGUGCCAGCAGCCGCGGUAAUACGGAGGAUCCGAGCGUUAUCCGGAUUUAUUGGGUUUAAAGGGAGCGUAGGUGGAUUGUUAAGUCAGUUGUGAAAGUUUGCGGCUCAACCGUAAAAUUGCAGUUGAAACUGGCAGUCUUGAGGACAGUAGAGGUGGGCGGAAUUCGUGGUGUAGCGGUGAAAUGCUUAGAUAUCACGAAGAACUCCGAUUGCGAAGGCAGUUCACUGGACUGCAACUGACACUGAGGCUCGAAAGUGUGGGUAUCAAACAGGAUUAGAUACCCGGGUAGUC